rnacentral:rRNA from 1 species
CAGCCGCCGCGGUAAUACGUAGGUCCCGAGCGUUGUCCGGAUUUAUUGGGCGUAAAGCGAGCGCAGGCGGUUAGAUAAGUCUGAAGUUAAAGGCUGUGGCUUAACCAUAGUACGCUUUGGAAACUGUUUAACUUGAGUGCAAGAGGGGAGAGUGGAAUUCCAUGUGUAGCGGUGAAAUGCGUAGAUAUAUGGAGGAACGCCGGUGGCGAAAGCGGCUCUCUGGUCUGUAACUGACGCUGAGGCUCGAAAGCGUGGGGAGCAAACAGGAUUAGAUACCCCCGUAGUCCCUGUCUCUUAUACA